AUUGAACGCUGGCGGCAUGCCUUACACAUGCAAGUCGAACGGCAGCACGGGUGCUUGCCCCUGGUGGCGAGUGGCGAACGGGUGAGUAAUCCAUCGGAACAUGUCCUGUAGUGUGGGAUAGCCCGGCGAAAGCCGGAUUCAUACAGCAUACGAUCUACGGGUGAAAGCGGGGGACGUUGGGGCCUCGCGCUAUAGGGUGGGUCGGUGGCUGAUUAGGUCGUUGGGUGGGUAAAGGCCUACCAAGGGGACGAUCAGUAGCUGGUCUUGGAGGACGACCAGCCACACUGAGACUGAGACACGGCCCAGACCCCUACGGGAGGCGGCAGUGGGGAAGUGUGGACAAUGGGCGGAAGCCUGAUCCAGCAAUGCCGCGUGUGUGAAGAAGGCCGUCGUGUUGGAAAGCACUUUUGUCCGGAAAGAAAUCCUUGGCUCUAAUACAGUCGGGGGAUGACGGUACCGGAAGAAUAAGCACCGGCUAACUACGUGC
rnacentral:rRNA from 1 species